UUGAGCCGUAUGUUGAGAAAUCAACACGUACGGUUCUUAGGCGAGAAAGAGGGAGCAAUCCCUCCGACUUAGCCGGC
rfam:Desulfosporosinus sp. BRH_c37 BRHa_1006581, whole genome shotgun sequence.